rnacentral:rRNA from 2 species
AGAUUGAACGCUGGCGGCAGGCCUAACACAUGCAAGUCGAGCGGAAACGAGCUAUCUGAACCUUCGGGGAACGAUAACGGCGUCGAGCGGCGGACGGGUGAGUAAUGCCUAGGAAAUUGCCCUGAUGUGGGGGAUAACCAUUGGAAACGAUGGCUAAUACCGCAUAACGCCUACGGGCCAAAGAGGGGGACCUUCGGGCCUCUCGCGUCAGGAUAUGCCUAGGUGGGAUUAGCUAGUUGGUGAGGUAAGGGCUCACCAAGGCGACGAUCCCUAGCUGGUCUGAGAGGAUGAUCAGCCACACUGGAACUGAGACACGGUCCAGACUCCUACGGGAGGCAGCAGUGGGGAAUAUUGCACAAUGGGCGCAAGCCUGAUGCAGCCAUGCCGCGUGUGUGAAGAAGGCCUUCGGGUUGUAAAGCACUUUCAGUCGUGAGGAAGGUAGUGUAGUUAAUAGCUGCAUUAUUUGACGUUAGCGACAGAAGAAGCACCGGCUAACUCCGUGCCAGCAGCCGCGGUAAUACGGAGGGUGCGAGCGUUAAUCG